AUGAUAGAGAAACUGCUAGCUAAUCCUUCUACAGGAGAUGGAACAUUGCAUCCCGAUUUGCACCUAAUCUAUGUGGAUGAAGUUUGUGGAUUAUUUAAGCUUGCAGGUAUGCCCGAGGAUAUUAUCAAGAAGAAGGUCUUCCCUUUAUCUUUGAAGGGAAAGGCAUUGACAUGGUUUAGGCUAUGUGAUGAUAUGGGAUCAUGGAACUACAACCAAUUGAAAUUGGAAUUUCAUCAGAAGUUUUAUCCUAGGCAUCUUGUUCAUCAUGAUCGUAAUUAUAUAUAUAAUUUUUGGCCUCGCAAAGGAGAAAGCAUCGCUCAAGCUUGGGGAAGGCUUAAGUCAAUGUUAUAUUCAUGCCCCAAUCAUGACCUCUCAAGAGAAAUUAUUAUUCAAUUUUUUUAUGCUCGGCUUUCUCUCAACAAUCUCUCCAUGCUCAAUACUUCUGGUACUAGUUCUUUUAUGAUGAAGACUAUUGAAUUCAGAUGA
rnacentral:rRNA from 1 species